rnacentral:rRNA from 1 species
UGGCGGCGUGCCUAACACAUGCAAGUCGAACGAGAAAGUGGAGCAAUCCAUGAGUAAAGUGGCGACCGGGUGAGUAACACGUGACUAACCUACCUCCGAGUGGGGAAUAACUCCGGGAAACCGGGGCUAAUACCGCAUAACAUCGCGAGAUCAAAGCAGCAAUGCGCUUGGAGAGGGGGUCGCGGCUGAUUAGCUAGUUGGCGGGGUAACGGCCCACCAAGGCGAAGAUCGGUAUCCGGCCUGAGAGGGCGCACGGACACACUGGAACUGAAACACGGUCCAGACUCCUACGGGAGGCAGCAGUGGGGAAUUUUGCGCAAUGGGGGAAACCCUGACGCAGCAACGCCGCGUGGAGGAUGAAGCCCUUUGGGGCGUAAACUCCUUUCGACCAAGACGAUAACGACGGUACUGGUGGAAGAAGCACCGGCUAACUCUGUGCCAGCAGCCGCGGUAAUACAGAGGGUGCAAGCGUUGUUCGGAAUUAUUGGGCGUAAAGGGCGCGUAGGCGGUGCCACAAGUCACUUGUGAAAUCUC